UACAGGGGGUGCAAACGUUGCUCGGAAUCAUUGGGCGUAAAGCGCACGUAGGCGGUCUGUUAUGUCGGAUGUGAAAGCCCUUGGCUUAACUGAGGAAGUGCAUCCGAAACUGGCAGGCUAGAGUACUAAAGAGGGUCGCGGAAUUCCCGGUGUAGAGGUGAAAUUCGUAGAUAUCGGGAGGAACACCGGUGACGAAGGCGGCGACCUGGGUAGAUACUGACGCUGAGGUGCGAAAGCGUGGGGAGCAAACAGG
rnacentral:rRNA from 1 species